GUUCUUUUGGGAACGUUUGAUAAAAUUGAAAUGAUAUAAAAAAGAUUAAUAUGUUCAUGCAUAAGAACGACACAUAAAUUUAGAGGUUGUUUAAUUUUUA